CCAAUGAGUCAACUCUUCACAUGAGGUGGCCAAAGUACUGGAGUUUCAGCUUUAGCAUCAUUCCUUCCAAAGAAAUCCCAGGGCUGAUCUCCUUCAGAAUGGACUGGUUGGAUCUCCUGAAACCCAAGUUCCAUAAGGAGCCCUACCAGCUUUGGGGCUGUGGGUCACUGGCUGCUGGAAGCUGCGUUAUGCAAGGUUAAGGACUCAUGCCCUGGAGUCAGAGAUAGUUGGAUUCAAAUUCCAGUUCUACCAACCUACUCACAGUGUGACUUUAAAAACUUUACUUACGUCCUCAGAGCCUCAGGCAUACCUCAUUUUAUUGCAAUCCACUUUACUGUGCUUCGCAGAUAGAGAAUGGAAUGGCAACCCACUCCAGUAUUCUUGCCUGGAGAAUCCCCUGGUUGGAGGAGCCUGGUGAGCUACAGUCCAUGGGGUCACAAAGAGUCGCGCACGACUGAAGCGACUGAGCAUGCACGCACAUGCUUCGCAGAUACUGUGUUUUUUAUGGAUUGAAAGUUUGUGGCAACCCUGGGUGAAACAAGUCUACUGGUAUAAUUUUUCCAACAGCAUUUGCUCACUGUGUGACUGUCACAUUUUGGUAAUUCUUACAAUAUUUCAAACUUUUUAUUAUCAUUAUUAUUAUUUGUUAUGAUGAUCUGUGACUGGUGAUCUUUGAUGUUCCUACCGUGAUUUACUGAAGACUCAGAUGAUAACAUUUUUCGCAACAAAAUGUUUUUAAAAUAAGGUAUGUGCAAACCUUUUUUUUAGGCCUAGUGCCAUUAGGUACUUAAUAAACUGCAGUAUAGCAUAAACAUAAUUUUAUGUGUGCUGGGAAACCAAAAAAUUUGU